CCACCGCCACCCCCACCCCCACAUCCGGUGCUUUGGAUUAUCUGUUGCUAUUUAACAAACCUUCCCAAACUCAGUUUCAUAAAACAACAGUUCUUGAUUCUGCUCAGGAAUCCUCCAUCUGUGCAGGGCCGGGCAGGGAGGCCUCGUCUGCUCCUCAGCACGGUGCAGGGCAGCUCAAUGGGGACUAAAGGACCCUUAUUCAAGAUGGAGCACCUACUAGACUGACAGUUUGGUGCCAUCUGUCAGAGUCUAAUCAACUCCAGACAUCUUAAUUGACCCUCGGGAAAUGUUAG
rnacentral:lncRNA from 1 species